UGGCGACCGGCGCACGGGUGCGUAACGCGUAUGCAACCUACCCAUAACAGGGGGAUAACACUGAGAAAUUGGUACUAAUACCCCAUAACAUCAGGACCGGCAUCGGUUCUGGUUGAAAACUCCGGUGGUUAUGGAUGGGCAUGCGUUGUAUUAGCUGGUUGGUGAGGUAACGGCUCACCAAGGCAACGAUACAUAGGGGGACUGAGAGGUUAACCCCCCACAUUGGUACUGAGACACGGCCAA
rnacentral:rRNA from 1 species